rnacentral:rRNA from 1 species
AGUGGCGGACGGGUGAGUAAUACUUAGGAAUCUGCCCAUUAGUGGGGGACAACUCGAGGAAACUCGAGCUAAUACCGCAUACGCCCUACGGGGGAAAGCGGGGGAUCUUCGGACCUCGCGCUAUUGGAUGAGCCUAAGUCGGAUUAGCUUGUUGGUGAGGUAAAGGCUCACCAAGGCGACGAUCCGUAGCUGGUCUGAGAGGACGAUCAGCCACACUGGGACUGAGACACGGCCCAGACUCCUACGGGAGGCAGCAGUGGGGAAUAUUGGACAAUGGGCGCAAGCCUGAUCCAGCAAUGCCGCGUGUGUGAAGAAGGCCUGCGGGUUGUAAAGCACUUUCAGUAGAGAAGAAAAGCCUAGGGUUAAUACCCCUGAGUCUUGACGUUACCUACAGAAGAAGCACCGGCUAACUCCGUGCCAGCAGCCGCGGUAAUACGGAGGGUGCAAGCGU